UUGGAUGAAAUUAAUGUAGGACCUACAUUUUGAAAAUGAAACUCACAUAAAGUGGUGGGAUAUACAUUAAUUUCACUAA
rnacentral:pre_miRNA from 1 species